GAUGAACGCUAGCUACAGGCUUAACACAUGCAAGUCGAGGGGCAGCACAGUGUAGCAAUACACGGGUGGCGACCGGCGCACGGGUGCGUAACACGUAUCCAGUCUGCCCGUUACUCGGGGAUAGCCUUCUGAAAGGAAGAUUAAUACCCGAUGGCAUGUAUUUCCGGCAUCGGAGAUACAUUAAAGAUUUAUCGGUAACGGAUGAGGAUGCGUACGAUUAGCUAGUUGGCGGGGUAACGGCCCACCAAGGCGACGAUCGUUAGGGGUUCUGAGAGGAAGGUCCCCCACACUGGAACUGAGACACGGUCCAGACUCCUACGGGAGGCAGCAGUGAGGAAUAUUGGUCAAUGGUCGAGAGACUGAACCAGCCAAGUAGCGUGAAGGAUGACUGCCCUAUGGGUUGUAAACUUCUUUUGUUUGGGAAUAAAGUCAGGUACGUGUACCUGUUUGUAUGUACCAUUCGAAUAAGCAUCGGCUAAUUCCGUGCCAGCAGCCGCCUAAGAC
rnacentral:rRNA from 1 species